UACGAAGGGACCUAGCGUUGUUCGGAAUGACUGGGCGUAAAGGGCGUGCAGGCGGUUUUUUAAGUCAGAUGUGAAAGUCCUGGGCUUAACCUAGGGAGGUCAUUUGAUACUGGGAGACUAGAGUAUGAGAGGGGAUAGUGGAAUUACGAGUGUAGGGGUGAAAUCCGUAGAUAUUCGUAGGAACACCGGUGGCGAAGGCGGGUUGCUGGGCCGACACUGACGCUGAGGUGCGAAAGCGUGGGGAGCAAACAGG
rnacentral:rRNA from 1 species